CUCCUCUUCCCAGCCAAUGGGGGACAUAAAAGAGGCCUGGCCCACCUCAGACCUCAUCUGGGGACACAGGAAGCUGCCUGCACCAUGGCCUGGACCCUUCUCCUGUUUGUGCUUGUCUCCCACUGCACAGGUUCCCUCUCCCAGCUUGUGCUGACUCAGCCGCCUUCCCUCUCAGCAUCUCUGGGAGCCACAGCCAGAAUCACCUGCACCCUCAGCAGUGGCAUCAGUGUUGGUGGCAGCUACGUAAACUGGUACCAGCAGAACGCAGGGAGCCCUCCCCGGUAUCUCCUGUGGUAUAAAUCAGACUCAGAGAAGCACCAGGGCUCUGGGGUCCCCAGCCGCUUCUCAGGAUCCAAAGAUGCCUCGGCCAAUGCAGGGCUCCUGACCAUCUCUGGGCUGCAGCCUGAGGACGAGGCCGUCUAUUACUGUAUGAUCGGGUACAAUAAUGCUUCUCACAGUGACACACACAGAGGGGGAAGUGGGACAAAAACCUCAACCUAGCAGAGUUUUCUUUGAAGACAGUUGAAUUUUUGCAUGUAUGAACAUAAUUUUGUGUAUGUAAAUAUACUCUAAGGUACCUUCUGGUUUACAAUGCGUCUAAUCCCAGUUUCCCAUUCCACGUCUACAGUCUCAGGGACACGGAGGCCAAACUCAAUACAAAGUGGUCACGGUGACACUGGUUUAUGUUAGCACCUAACGUAUCUACAGUAAAAGAAAACAUAAUAAACACCUUUUUGUGUAUUUUUCAUCUUCACUGUGACAGUUAAG